UACGUAGGGGGCAAGCGUUGUCCGGAAUUACUGGGCGUAAAGAGCGCGCAGGCGGUCGUUCAAGUCGCGUGUGAAAGCCCCCGGCUCAACUGGGGAGGGUCACGCGAUACUGAUCGACUCGAAGGCAGGAGAGGGUAGUGGAAUUCCCGGUGUAGUGGUGAAAUGCGUAGAUAUCGGGAGGAACACCAGUGGCGAAGGCGGUUGCCUGGAGCUUUGCUGACGCUGAUGCGCGAAAGCGUGGGGAGCGAGCCGG
rnacentral:rRNA from 1 species